rnacentral:rRNA from 1 species
UACGAAGGGGGCUAGCGUUGUUCGGAUUUACUGGGCGUAAAGCGCACGUAGGCGGAUCUUUAAGUCAGAGGUGAGAUCCCAAGGCUCAACCUUGGAACUGCCUUUGAUACUGGGGAUCUUGAGUCCGGGAGAGGUGAGUGGAACUGCGAGUGUAGAGGUGAAAUUCGUAGAUAUUCGCAAGAACACCAGUGGCGAAGGCGGCUCACUGGCCCGGUACUGACGCUGAGGUGCGAAAGCGUGGGGAGCAAACAGGG